AGUGAACGCUGGCGGUAGGCCUAACACAUGCAAGUCGAACGGCAGCACAGUAAGAGCUUGCUCUUACGGGUGGCGAGUGGCGGACGGGUGAGGAAUACAUAGGAAUCUACUUUUUCGUGGGGGAUAACGUAGGGAAACUUACGCUAAUACCGCAUACGACCUACGGGUGAAAGAAGGGGAUCUUCGGACCUUGCGCGAUUGAAUGAGCCGAUGUCGGAUUAGCUAGUUGGCGGGGUAAAGGCCCACCAAGGCGACGAUCCGUAGCUGGUCUGAGAGGAUGAUCAGCCACACUGGAACUGAGACACGGUCCAGACUCCUACGGGAGGCAGCAGUGGGGAAUAUUGGACAAUGGGCGCAAGCCUGAUCCAGCCAUACCGCGUGGGUGAAGAAGGCCUUCGGGUUGUAAAGCCCUUUUGUUGGGAAAGAAAAGCAGCAGGUUAAUACCCCGCUGUUCUGACGGUACCCAAAGAAUAAGCACCGGCUAACUUCGUG
rnacentral:rRNA from 1 species